UAUAAGAAAUGUUAAGAUUUUCUUUUUAAAUGUCCAGUGAUUUCACGCUGAGAAGUUUUUAUUUGAAAAUAAAAAAAAAUAAAUUGUCAUUAUUUUCAAAUUCCAAACACCAGCACAGGGUCCAGAGACAAAAGAACUUUUUUUUUCAGGUGUAUUCACAUUUGAAGUGCAGCUGUCAGUGGUUUAAAGUAGAGAUGAACAAAGAGUGGAGGUUCGAUUCCCUGACCUUCAGUCAGUCCUCACCGUUUGGAUGUUUCUGUUCUGACCUCGUCCUGACCUUUGUCUCCUGUUGGGUCAUUUGUUUUAUCACUGUACUGUUGACUUCAUCUCUCCUCUUCCUCCUCCUCCGACUUCCCACCAUCGCCUGCAUUUUGCUCCUUACUGCGUUUGUCUCACCUUUCCUCCCCCCCCCCGUGUGGUUGGCGUCCGUCCCUCCUUGUCUCCUCAGAUCUGUAUAAGGGUCUCCAGUCAGGUUCUCAGGUUCCUCUGCCUCCUCACUUGCAGCUGGCUUUCUCAGAUGUCAGUCAAAGCCAAGGAGGAGACUCUAAGAGGAAGACUCUAUGAUGCUGCAGGACCAGGACCAGGACCAGGACCCCUGGGACAGACCGCUGAGGCAGCGGCCCGUGUCAAACUGGGCCACACUUGGUUUCAGUUAAAUGUAACAUUUUUAAAGUUGAAAUACUUUUUCUCAUAGAAUUGAUGAAUUAAGUGACAAAUUUGUCAACGUUUACAAAAUCGACCUAUAUCACUGUGGACAGGACGGAGCGGCUGGGUUUUUUAAAGUGUGUGUGUGUGUCUUUGUACGUCCCCCUCUCUGAUGCAUGGUCAGUGUCUCUACUGGUGCUGUUUUUAUCUUGUAAUUCUCACUGAUAACCUGUAAGAAACAUCAGCUGUUCAUUGAAGUUCAUUUUUUACCUGAUGAACAGUUUUUCAUCGUACUUGAAUUCUGAACUGAAUUCUUUUCUGUAUAAAACUCGAUCUGACUUCAUUAAAUUUGAUGCUUUCGCA